rnacentral:rRNA from 1 species
CCUACGGGAGGCAGCAGUGGGGGAUAUUGGACAAUGGGGGGAACCCUGAUCCAGCGACGCCGCGUGAGUGAAGAAGUAUCUCGGUAUGUAAAGCUCUAUCAGCAGGGAAGAAGAAAUGACGGUAUCUGCGUAAGAAUCCCCAGCUAAAUACGCGCGAGCAGCCGGGGUAAUACGUAGGGCGCAAGUGAUAUCCGGAAUUCGUGGGUGUAAAGGGAGCGUAGACGGUGAUGUAAGUCAGGGGUGAAGGGUGGGGGCGCAAUCCACGGACUGCAUUGGACACUAGGUGACUUGAGUGCAGGAGAGGUGAGCGGAAUUCCUAGUGUAGCGGUGAAAUGCGUAGAUAUUAGGAGGAACACCAGUGGCGAAGGCGGCUCACUGGACUGUAACUGACGUUGAGGCUCGAAAGCGUGGGGAGCAAACAGGAUUAGAUACCCUAGUAGUC